AUUGAACGCUGGCGGCAGGCCUAACACAUGCAAGUCGAGCGGAUGACGGGAGCUUGCUCCUUGAUUCAGCGGCGGACGGGUGGGUAAUGCCUAGGAAUCUGCCUGGUAGUGGGGGACAACGUUUCGAAAGGAACGCUAAUACCGCAUACGUCCUACGGGAGAAAGCAGGGGACCUUCGGGCCUUGCGCUAUCAGAUGAGCCUAGGUCGGAUUAGCUAGUAGGUGAGGUAAUGGCUCACCUAGGCGACGAUCCGUAACUGGUCUGAGAGGAUGAUCAGUCACACUGGAACUGAGACACGGUCCAGACUCCUACGGGAGGCAGCAGUGGGGAAUAUUGGACAAUGGGCGAAAGCCUGAUCCAGCCAUGCCGCGUGUGUGAAGAAGGUCUUCGGAUUGUAAAGCACUUUAAGUUGGGAGGAAGGGCAGUAAGUUAAUACCUUGCUGUUUUGACGUUACCGACAGAAUAAGCGCCGGCUAACUCUGUGCCAGCCGCCGCAGUAAGAC
rnacentral:rRNA from 1 species